ACUCAAAGGAAUAGACGGGGGCCCGCACAAGCGGUGGAGUAUGUGGUUUAAUUCGAAGCAACGCGCAGAACCUUACCUACCCUUAACAUCCUGUGCUAGUGGCAGAGAUGUCAUGUUCUCUUCGGAGACGCAGUGAUAGGUGCUGCAUGGCUGUCGUCAGCUCGUGUCGUAAGAUGUCUGGUUAAGUCCAAUAACGAGCGCAACCCCUGUCUUUAGUUACCAUCAUUAAGUUGGGCACUCUAAAGAGACUGCCGGUGUUAAACCGGAGGAAGGCGGGGACGACGUCAAGUCCUCAUGGCCCUUACGGGUAGGGCUACACACGUACUACAAUGGCAAGAACAAACCGCCGCAAGAUCGCAAGAUGGAGCUAAUCGGAAAAACAUUGCCUCAGUUCGGAUUGAAGUCUGCAACUCGACUUCAUGAAGUUGGAAUCGCUAGUAAUCGCUGAUCAGCAAGCAGCGGUGAAUACGUUCCCGGGCCUUGUACACACCGCCCGU
rnacentral:rRNA from 1 species